rnacentral:ncRNA from 1 species
CAAUUGAAUACAGAUUUUUGUGGCUCUGCGGCGUAUUCGGUCCGCAGGGAUGAACAAGGGAAUCGGGUGAAAAUCCCGGACGGAAUCCGCCGCUGUAAGCGCCGAGUCCGAUGCCUGUUGAUGAAAAUCAGUCACUGGGAAACUGGGAAGGCAGGGUGUCGAACGUAAAAUCAUAAGAUUUUAAAAGCGUAAGUCAGAAGACCUACAAAAACGAUAAAAGGGAA